rnacentral:rRNA from 1 species
CCUACGGGUGGCAGCAGUAGGGAAUUUUCCUCAAUGGGCGCAAGCCUGAUCGAGCAAUGCCGCGUGAACGAGGAAGGUCUUCGGAUCGUAAAGUUCUGUUGACGGGGAAAAAGAGCGGAGAGAGGAAAUGGUCUCCGCUUGAUAUUACCCUUCGAGGAAGUCACGGCUAACUACGGGCCAGCAGCCGCGGUAAUACGUAGGGGGCGAGCGUUAUCCGGAAUGAUGGGGCGUAAAGGGUGCGUAGGCGGCCUGCUCAGCCUGGAGGGAAAGGUACCGGCUCAACCGGUACAGGCUCUGGAAACGGGCGGGCUAGAGAGCAGGAUAGGGCGGUGGAACUCCAGGGGUAGCGGUAAAAUGCGUAGAUAUAUGGAAGAACACCAGUGGCGAAGGCGGCCGCCUGGCCUGUUACUGACGCUGAGGCACGAAAGCGUGGGGAGCAAAUAGGAUUAGAUACCCUAGUAGUC